rnacentral:tRNA from 1 species
GGUGGUUCAGUGGUAGAGCACUAGCCUUGGAUGCCUGAGGCCCUGGGUUCGAUUCCUCAGCACCA